GGUAGAACGUCUCUUUUCCAAAGAGAAGGUCACGGGUUCGAGUCCCGUACUCCGCU
rnacentral:tRNA from 1 species